AAAAAAAGGAAUAUCCAAUAGAACACGUGGGAGAAAUUUCUGAAGAAACAAUUCAGCAAGUUGAAACAGUGAGAACAAGUCCUCGUAAUUUUUAUGGAAACAGCCAUCUUUACUCACACAGAUACACUUCACCGCAAUAAAGGCCUGCAUGCUUGAACUCCCACAACAUGAUGAGUCAUAUGGAGCUGGUUAUUUCCUGGUGAAUAGCAAGAAGCAAGCAAAAAUUAUCAUUUGAAUAAAACAACCUGAGAAAACAAAACCAAGAGAUCUAUGAAAGACAGAGACAAUCUACCAGG